UACGGGGGGGGCUUAGUGUUAUUCGUAUGGACUGGGCGGUAAAGGGUCUGUAGGCGGCUUACCAAGUUUUGGGGUAAAUUCUUCGGCGUGCCCGACUGGAACCAAAUUAAUACUUAGUAAGCUAGAGUACGUAUAGGGAUACUAGUACCCGUAAUGAAGGGGUAAAAUCCUAAAAUAUUACUGGGGACUACCAAUAGGUGAAGACGGGUAUCCGUAUCGUUCUGACGCUGAGGGACGAAAGCAUGAGGAGCAAACUGG
rnacentral:misc_RNA from 1 species